UGCUAAUACCGCAUAACAACAAAAGCUGCAUGGCUUUUGUUCGAAAGAUGGCUUUGGCUAUCACUCUGGGAUGGACCUGCGGUGCAUUAGCUAGUUGGUAGGGUAACGGCUUACCAAGGCGAUGAUGCAUAGCCGAGUUGAGAGACUGAUCGGCCACAAUGGAACUGAGACACGGUCCAUACUCCUACGGGAGGCAGCAGUAGGGAAUCUUCCACAAUGGGCGCAAGCCUGAUGGAGCAACACCGCGUGAGUGAAGAAGGGUUUCGGCUCGUAAAGCUCUGUUGUUGGAGAAGAACGUGCGUGAGAGUAACUGUUCACGCAGUGACGGUAUCCAACCAGAAAGUCACGGCUAACUACGUGCCAGCAGCCGCGGUAAUACGUAGGUGGCAAGCGUUAUCCGGAUUUAUUGGGCGUAAAGCGAGCGCAGGCGGUUGCUUAGGUCUGAUGUGAAAGCCUUCGGCUUAACCGAAGAAGUGCAUCGGAAACCGGGCGACUUGAGUGCAGAAGAGGACAGUGGAACUCCAUGUGUAGCGGUGGAAUGCGUAGAUAUAUGGAAGAACACCAGUGGCGAAGGCGGCUGUCUGGUCUGCAACUGACGCUGAGGCUCGAAAGCAUGGGUAGCGAACAGGAUUAGAUACCCUGGUAGUCCAUGCCGUAAACGAUGAGUGAUAGGUGUUGGAG
rnacentral:rRNA from 1 species